AUGAACGCUGGCGGCGUGCCUCAUCCAUGCAAGUCGAGCGAACAGACGAGGAGCUUGCUCCUCUGACGUUAGCGGCGGACGGGUGAGUAACACGUGGAUAACCUACCUAUAAGACUGGGAUAACUUCGGGAAACCGGAGCUAAUACCGGAUAAUAUAUUUAACCGCAUGGUUCAAUAGUGAAAGACGGUUUUGCUGUCACUUAUAGAUGGAUCCGCGCCGCAUUAGCUAGUUGGUAAGGUAACGGCUUACCAAGGCAACGAUGCGUAGCCGACCUGAGAGGGUGAUCGGCCACACUGGAACUGAGACACGGUCCAGACUCCUACGGGAGGCAGCAGUAGGGAAUCUUCCGCAAUGGGCGAAAGCCUGACGGAGCAACGCCGCGUGAGUGAUGAAGGUCUUCGGAUCGUAAAACUCUGUUAUUAGGGAAGAACAAAUGUGUAAGUAACUAUGCACGUCUUGACGGUACCUAAUCAGAAAGCCACGGCUAACUACGUG
rnacentral:rRNA from 1 species